GACGAACGCUGGCGGCGUGCCUAAUACAUGCAAGUAGAACGCAGUUGCGAACGGGUGAGUAACGCGUAGGUAACUGCCUCAUAGCGGGGGAUAACUAUUGGAAACGAUAGCUAAUACCGCAUACUGUGAGAUGGACCUGCGUUGUAUUAGCUAGUUGGUGGGGUAAAGGCUCACCAAGGCGACGAUACAUAGCCGACCUGAGAUGGUGAUCGGCCACGCUUGGACCGAGACACGGCCCAAAAUGCUUCGGGAGGCAGCUGUAGGGAAGCUUCGGCAAUGAACGUAAGUCUGGCCGAGCAACGCCGGGUGAGGGAAGAAGGGUUUCGGAUCGUAAAGAUCUGUUGUUAGAGAAGCGGUACCUAACCAGAAAGGGACGGCUAACUACGUGCCAGCAGCCGCGGUAAUUC
rnacentral:rRNA from 1 species